GUCGGCUCUUCAGCUCUCCCGCUCGGCGUCUUCCUUCCUCCUCCCGGUCAGCGUCGGCGGCUGCACCGGCGGCGGCGCAGUCCCUGCGGGAGGGGCGACAAGAGCUGAGCGGCGGCCGCCGAGCGUCGAGCUCAGCGCGGCGGAGGCGGCGGCGGCCCGGCAGCCAACAUGGCGGCGGCGGCGGCGGCGGGCGCGGGCCCGGAGAUGGUCCGCGGGCAGGUGUUCGACGUGGGGCCGCGCUACACCAACCUCUCGUACAUCGGCGAGGGCGCCUACGGCAUGGUGUGAGUCUUGCUCUGUCACCCAGGCUGGAAUGCAGUGGCAUGAUCUCGGCUGACUGCAACCUCUUCCUCCCAGGUUCAAGUGAUUCUCCUGCCUCAGCCUCCCAAGAAGUUGGGACUACAGGUGCACACCACCACGUGUAACUAAUUUUUAUAUUUUUAGUAGAGAUGGGGUUUCACUAUGUUGGCCAGACUGGUCUCAAACUCCUGACCUCAGGUGAUCUACCCACCUCGGCCUCCCAAAGUGCUGGGAUUACAGGCGCCAGCCACCAGUCUACCUUAUCUUAAAAUGGUAUAAUUUUCCUUUGAAACUAUUUGCCUGGUAUUUUUUUGGUUUUCUUAGACUGGUUUCUGCUUGGUUUCUACCACCACUCUUAAUCCCCUCCAGUUGUUCUCUGCAACCACCACCAUGACUGCCAUUUCCUUGAGCACUUAUUAUCCAUUAAGCACCUUUAUGUGUGGUAAUUAAUGACUGUUAUGUGUUUUGUUGUUUUGAUACAAAGUCUCACUGUCGCCCAGGCUGGACUGCAGUGGCGCUGUCACUUGAAUCCAACCUCCACCUCCCGGGUUCAAGCAGUUCUCCAGCCUCAGCCUCCCAAGUAGCUGGGAUUACAGGUGUGCGCUACCACAUCUGGCUAAUUUUUGUAUUUUUAGUAGAGACAGGGUUUCAUCACCUUGGCCAGGGUGGUCUCUAACUCCUGACCUCAAGUGAUCCACCCACCUCUACCUCCCAAAAUCCUGGGAUUAUAGGUGUGAGCCACUGAGCCCAGCCUGUUAUGUAUUUUUGUCUUUUGUUUUCUUUGAGACAGGGUGUCACUCUCUCACUCAGGCUUGAGUGCAGUGGCAUGAUCACGGCUCGAUGUGUUUAUUCUUGUUUUUUUCUUGUUUUUCUGUUGUUUUUUUUUUUGUUUUUUUGAGAUGAAGUUUUGCUCUUGUUGCCCAGGCUGGAGUGCAAUGGUGCAAUCUUGACUCACUGCAACCUCCACCUCCCAGAUUCAAGCGAUUCUCCUGCCUCAGCCUCCCAAGUAGCUGGAAUUACAGGCAUGUGCCACUACGCCCAGGUAGUUUUGUAUUUUUAGUAGAGAUGGGGUUUCUCCAUGUUGGUCAGGCUGGUCUCGAACUCCUGACCUCAGGUGAUCCGCCCGCCUCAGCCUCCCAAAGUGCUGGGAUUACAGGCUUGAGCCGCCGCACCCGGGCUGGACUAUUAUCUUUCUAUUAAACAAUACAGUACUUAGUAUUUCCUGGUUUUGAAUUUCAUAUAAGUGAAAUCAUACUGUGUGUAUUCUUCAACUAGCUUUUUUCAUUCAUCAUUAUGUUUUUGAGUAUAGUAUAGUUACUUGUUUUCACUGCUUUAUAUACCAUUGUAUAAAUAUACCACAAUUUAUCCAUUCUAGUAUUAAUGGACAUUAGGUUUGUUGUUAUUACAGUGUUCCUGCAAGUAACCUUGCACAUUUCUCCUGAUACACAAGAGUUUCACAGAUCUUUAGACAGAUUCCCCAGUAGUGGAAUUGCUGGAUGGUAGGGCAUAUGUACAUUCACCGGGUAUUCCACAUUGUUUUC
rnacentral:lncRNA from 1 species